UGAUGCGUACUGUAACGUAGGGAAACGGCGUAGGGAAGUCCGUAGGGUUUGUAAGGCGCAGCCACGAUCAGCGGUAUAAAAUUACGGUAUCGUGUAAACAGAAUAUCUCGUCGGCACGUCUGAUGGCCGCUUGGGUGGCCGUCAGGCUUUCACGUGUUCUCCACAAGCAUCGGGACUACGGUUACGUCGAGUCGCGGUCUCUCCAUUCCCUUUUCUUUGCGAUCUGUUAGCUGGAUAACGUAAGAUGGAAGCGAUAGUCUGCUUUUCAAAGGAUGAAUCUUUGUGUUAUCUUAAAUUUUCGAAAAAUAACACGUGAAUAGCAAAAAACUGAACCGAAGUAACGUUACGUUUAAUUUGUACCAACAUCGUAUGUGAAAUACUUUUAUCACGAUUAUCUACUAUUCUUUAAAAAAUUGGUGAACUUUAAUAUAAAUAUAUACGUCGUCGAAAUAAAACUGUCGUGUCGAAUCAUUUAUAAUUGUCGAAUUAAAAAUGACGAAUUAAUAACAGAAUCAAUGAUGUCCGAUGGAAAUAAAAAUAUAUUUUAUCUACAUCUAAGAGGCACUUGAAGAGAAGCCCUUCGACGUGUAGCACGAAAGAAAAGUCGUCGGUAGUAAAUUAGAGAGCCUAUCCCUGUGUCUGGACAGGAGCAUCUAAAGAAGGAAGAGAAAGAGAAAAAUACGGGGGAUGGAAAGAGUCACGAGCACUCCACUUUCAACCCUUAAGCCACGAGGCCAUCUUCAUAGUCAACAAAUCAAAACGAGUGUCCUCGUACACGGAAGAUCCUUGACGAUGCUAACGUUUCCUUCGGUGGGAAGAAUCAUUCUUGGGAGAAAUGAAAAAACGAUUUCUUUUCCUUUUUCUUUUCGUCCUUGUAUUCAUAUCAUCUUUCAUAAGUUAAGAUAAGUACUUUUUUAUGUAUAUGAUGUAGCCUGUACUUAUAUACAUACUUUGGUCAAAUGAUCUUCUUUCAAAUGGCAACAUUUCAAUUAACAAAGAUACAAAGUGAACAGUUCAUAAGACUUUUUUUACCCGAUUCCAAAAUAUGUUUACAAUCAUGAUAUCUACACUUAUAUCUAAUAUAAAGAUAUAUUAUGAAAUAUAACGUUUACUAUUAUUAUAUUAUGAUGUAAUAUACGACAUGAUACAUUUCACAUGUAAUUUUCGUCAAAUUAUCUUGAUAUCUAAUUAGCAAAUAUGAAAAAGAAAUGAAAUUUGUAAACGAUACGUUACCUAAAAACGUCGUAAUGGGUUACAUUAAAAAUAAUAGAUAUUUGCUGAUA